CACUGCAAAGCUUUAAGCAAGCGUAGGCCUUUUAAGUCUAAGAUAAUAAAGUAGCAUUUAUUUACAGUGA
rnacentral:tRNA from 1 species